AUGUGAUAUAUACAAGACGCUGCUUUGGGAUGAGUCAUCUGACCGUGGUGUACAAUGGAUCAGAAUGGAGAGAGAGUGGGAGUGUUCGGAUUGUUGCGGAGGCAGGGUGAGGAGCUGGGAGCCUGCGCUAAGGCUACCCAUGACCUACAGGCUGUGCGAGCCACGCUGUUUCCCAUCUUGUCUCCGUUCAUCUUCCUCGUGCCCUAUGAAGUCGGUAUCCGGCUCCAUCUUACAGACCAGGAAACUAAGAGCAGGCAAGGUCCAAGGCCACAUAACAGGUGCAAAAAGACAGACUGGAGGGAGAUGUAUGCCAGGACCCCUGACCGGCCCUCUUAGCUUGCUGGAGGGGCUGGGUGCAGCUCACUGACCUGGCCUUCACCAUCUGCUGCCUGCUUGGCUG
rnacentral:lncRNA from 1 species